UUUGUCAAGUAAAUGGAAACACAUUAUAUUUCAAAUUUCUUUUUGUCAUGGUUUUUUCAAAGAUGAAUUCUGCACUUAAGGUGAAAACUUUGAUUGGUUUAUUUAAUUCACAUGACUUUUGUGUAAGAUCGAUAUUAUACGUUCUGGCAAUUUUAGAGUCUUUUGCAUUGAUAUUCCCUGGUGUGGGCUGCUUUCAGAGUUCUGUUAAUAUAGCAUCAAAAAUUGCCUUAAGCUUAUUUGCCAAGCAAAAUUAACCAAGUGUGAUGAGCAGAACAGCAAAAGCCACUGUAAAAUAUAUAUAUAUAAGAAUUAAAUAUGUUUGUGUACAUGUACCUACUUGAUGUA